AGUUGCUGAGACAUUGUAUUAAGAGCGUCAGAGUCCUUUAUCGAUCCUGAAUCAUCAACAGCAAGAACAGAGUUGAACUCAUCUCCGCAAAGAACAGUUUGGAUAAUGAAGAAGUUGGGAAUUGAGAAAUGGGGACAACAAACAAACAUGUGAGAUUGAUUACAUAUAAAAGCUGGAAAAGAAAGAAAAAAGAAAGGUGCAUUAUUUUAGAAUCACAAGCACAUGAGUCGUGUACAAGAGUACAUGUAAAAAAGUGAUUCAAAGGACAUGUGUAUUAGAGAAAGAAAGAAAGAAGCAUAGCGUAUAGUGCAAUUAGUGAUUAUUGUGAUCCAGAAGGAAAGCAUCUGUAAAUGAGAGAAGUUGUUUUAUUUUUAUAUUUGACAGUGACAGAAAUCGUGAGUUUAUGUGGUCUCUCGACUUUGAUUACUUUAGGAAAAUAAAAGAGUAGGGAUAUAUA